rnacentral:rRNA from 1 species
GAUAUACAUUGUAAGGACUCUUUAAAAUUCCAGAAUCCAAUGGAUUCUAAAAAUUGAGUAACUUGCGAACUUUACAACCUGGUUUUUGGAAACAAGAACUAGAAAAAAAGUCAGCAAUUUUAAUGAGCUAAUUAAAUUUUUCAAAUAAUAAUUUGAGAGUUUGAUCCUGGCUCAGGACGAACGCUGGCGGCGUGCCUAACACAUGCAAGUCGAGCGGAGAUAA